rnacentral:lncRNA from 1 species
UACAGGCUUACCAGAUUACCCGUGAGAACUCACCCGGGCUCCAAUUACAGAAACGUAGGUGAGGCUUUGUAAAUGAUGUAAUGGUUCAGAAGGUGCGGUGCUGUGUCACGCAGUCGUCCCGUUCGCGGUGAGCCAUCUGUAGAUCACCUUGGGCUUGCAAUAGAAACCGGGGCAUUCUAACGUCCAACAGAGGAGCUGCGGUUCUACACAAACAAAACCCGUGUUCCGAAAAAUCGUGGUGCUCUGAGUAGCCUGAUGGGCAGAAAUCCCACAAAGCAAAAGUCAGUGCUUUGUUAAAUGAUGUGUGUGGUAUGUACUUCAAGGCACUCAAGCCCUUCUUCAGAAUUCCGAGCGUGAGCACCCAAAAGGUUUCCCAGUUCUUCCAGCAAUAUCAGUUUGAUAACAUCUACCAGCAAACCACGUUCUGCUCUGCUGGUGUUGGCAUAGGUUUGUCAGGAGAAAGAGUGAGCCUUGGUUUCUGGAAGAACUCUCAGCUGACACACCACUCUGGGUCUGUGCUCUGCUCUGCUCUGCUCUGGGAAAAUUAUGUACUCAGAGGUAUGACAACUGUGCAUGGCUGUCCAGAGUGUGGCUUAUCUGUCAUGUUACUGUCACUACUGCUGGUCUCCAUAAAGGUUCAGCAAGCAUCGAUGGAUGUCAGUGGGUGCAAGCUUUAAGUGUCUUUAAUCGUCUGUGCAUUGCAAGC